rnacentral:lncRNA from 1 species
UUGAUCUGUACAAAACUGAGAGAUUUUGUGUUUUUAUAGUUCUUUUGUGCUCUAACCGAAUUUGAUUAUCUGACAUUUUUUCAGAUGUUGCAACCUUGGGCGAUCGGUUCUUUGGAUUCUUGAAACCAAUGCCUUUUCUGAAGUAAGUUUGGCAUGCAAGGUGCCCUCACGGUUUAUUUUCAAGAUGGCGCUGGGGUCUCGGGGACGUGCCGGAAGGCGUCGCGUUCCUGCACCUUGGGGAUGGCUUUGGGUCGAAUUCUCCUCCAUGCAAUCUUGUGCUCCUUUGGUAUGUGUGGCUUCGCCCAUCUUCCUCAUAUUUUCUUCUGCUGACUGCUGUAGCCUUACUAUGCAUCCUGGAGCGACACCAUGUAUUCCAGAGCUGCUACAUGAACACAAUGAAACACCUGACCUUCAAAGAAAAUGAUACAGCUGGCCAGUUUGGUUUGGAGUUUGCAGGAGGCUUUCAGAUGUUUUUCUAUGUUACAUACCCCGUGUUACCCAACAAAAUAAGUCGAUAUUCUGUAUGGAUAUAGGAUUUGCAUAUUUUUUUUAUUGUUUCUAGCGAAUACAGACUAAGUCUCUGAUGAUCUGCAGGGUGUUUCUAAUCUUUCUGCCUUCUAGUGUAAAUAGAGGUAUGGUGCCUAGAGUUCAACUAUUUAUCCUAUGUAGUAUAAUUGACAUUUAAGUUAUACAACCUUUCUAGAUUUCUCAAUAUCAUGCCUAGAGCUUAUAAUCCUUUCUUUGAAGAUCCAUAGCCAGACUUUGAAACUGUUGCACAUACAUAAAUUAAACUAGCUGCCUGUAGUACGAGUAUUAUAUAGAUUUGUAUGUAUGUGGUUACUUUGUUCUAUGGCAAAAGGGUUCAAGGCUAGCAUUUUUUUAAAUAUAGCACAUUCAUAUAAAUUUUCUUGCAAUUCUAACUAUGAAAUCCACAUUCAUUCAGUAGUUUUUAUGUAACAAUAUAAAUGAUCUUUCAGUCACAAUGCCAGUAUUUAGAACUAAAUCUGAUGGGCCUAAAUUCCCCUUGGACCCCCACCCCCUCCUUAUAUUCCUAUAUCUCCAAUCUCCUUUCUCCACCGGCUAUCAGAGAAUAGAGAUCACAUUAUGAAUUUGUUUUUUGUCAGAGAUGUUCUCCCAUCGCUAUUAGCUGUCAAAUUUGCGAUGCAAUCCGUCCCUAUGUCGGCACAAUCAGCAGAACAAAGCAGCUAUCAUGAUUUGCCCAUUGAUCUCUUGGAGUGAUUCAAACGUGCAAGCACCAGGGUAA